rnacentral:rRNA from 1 species
GAUGAACGCUGGCGGCGUGCCUAAUACAUGCAAGUCGAGCGAACGGACGAGAAGCUUGCUUCUCUGAUGUUAGCGGCGGACGGGUGAGUAACACGUGGAUAACCUACCUAUAAGACUGGGAUAACUUCGGGAAACCGGAGCUAAUACCGGAUAAUAUUUUGAACCGCAUGGUUCAAAAGUGAAAGACGGUCUUGCUGUCACUUAUAGAUGGAUCCGCGCUGCAUUAGCUAGUUGUUAAGGUAACGGCUUACCAAGGCAACGAUGCAUAGCCGACGUGAGAGGGUGAUCGGCCACACGGGAACUGAGCCACGGUCCAGACUCCUACGGGAGGCAGCAGUAGGGAAUCUUCCGCAAUGGGCGAAAGCCUGACGGAGCAACGCCGCGUGAGUGAUGAAGGUCUUCGGAUCGUAAAACUCUGUUAUUAGGGAAGAACAUAUGUGUAAGUAACUGUGCACAUCUUGACGGUACCUAAUCAGAAAGCCACGGCUAACUACGUG